CAACGUUGAAACGGCGCCGUGAAAUGUCGAUUUCUCCGCCGUCUGAGAGGGUCGAUUUAUCACCGUUGAAUCAACGUGGGUAAAGGUUGAUCUGUCGACCGUCAGAGAAGGUUGAAUAUACGACGUUGAACCAUCGUCACUUUUGCCGGCCAGUUUUCAACAUUGGUAGGAUCUGGCCCGUAGCCAGGGGGGAUCGGAGGGUUCGUUCGAUCCCCCCCCCCCCUGCGACACCGCGCCCCGGACACACACACCUCAAGAUUACUCAAGAUUUAUUCAUUUGUUCAUGUCCGAUGAAUAUACAUUGAUUCACAUUUAAAUUUACAAUAUCAAAUCCAGACUAAUCAAAAAAGAAAAGUAGACUAAGUGAGGACGAGUUAGAAAAACGGGUUCAUUUCUCCUAUGUUUAUGUUUACACGUUUUGUUCAGACUGCUUUACACCCCAAUCCAGUGGGUGGCGGUAAUGCCCCCAUUAGACCCCUUUCACUGACGUCACCCGAAACCGGAAGUAAACAAACCCUGCGCCACAUUGGAAGACCAACAAACUCGUGAUUUGGGGGAAAUAAAGGCAGCGCGCGGUAUGUGAACCCACGAGGCACUUGGUUCAUAAACCUACAAUGGUAAACUUUUGUGCUGUGUUAGGGUUCUAACAAAGCUGAUGGGAAAGGUGAAAAGAAGUCUUUCUACAGAAUACCAGCUGUGAUUGAGACACAAGCAAACCAAGGAGCUUUCUACCAGGAGACAGAGAGAGGAUUUAGCUGCUUUAUGCAGAGCGGAUCUGAAUACUUCAAGUCUAUUUUGUUACUGGUCUGCGCCACAGGAGGAAUAGGCCACAAUUAUAAAUAAAUCAUAAAAUGUUUCUAAGAA